UGGGGAAUUUUGGACAAUGGGCGAAAGCCUGAUCCAGCAAUGCCGCGUGUGUGAAGAAGGCCUUCGGGUUGUAAAGCACUUUUGUCCGGAAAGAAAUCCUUGGCUCUAAUACAGUCGGGGGAUGACGGUACCGGAAGAAUAAGCACCGGCUAACUACGUGCCAGCAGCCGCGGUAAUACGUAGGGUGCAAGCGUUAAUCGGAAUUACUGGGCGUAAAGCGUGCGCAGGCGGUUUGCUAAGACCGAUGUGAAAUCCCCGGGCUCAACCUGGGAACUGCAUUGGUGACUGGCAGGCUAGAGUAUGGCAGAGGGGGGUAGAAUUCCACGUGUAGCAGUGAAAUGCGUAGAGAUGUGGAGGAAUACCGAUGGCGAAGGCAGCCCCCUGGGCCAAUACUGACGCUCAUGCACGAAGGCGUGGGGAGCAAACAGGAUUAGAUACCCUGGUAGUCCACGCCCUAAACGAUGUCAACUAGUUGUUGGGGAUUCAUUUCCUUAGUAACGUAGCUAACGCGUGAAGUUGACCGCCUGGGGAGUACGGUCGCAAGAUUAAAACUUAAAGGAAUUGACGGGGUCAUA
rnacentral:rRNA from 1 species